rnacentral:rRNA from 1 species
ACUCCUACGGGAGGCAGCAGUGGGGAAUAUUGCACAAUGGGCGCAAGCCUGAUGCAGCAACGCCGCGUGCGGGAUGACGGCCUUCGGGUUGUAAACCGCUUUCAGCAGGGACGAAGCUUUUUGUGACGGUACCUGCAGAAGAAGCACCGGCUAACUACGUGCCAGCAGCCGCGGUGAUACGUAGGGUGCGAGCGUUGUCCGGAUUUAUUGGGCGUAAAGGGCUCGUAGGCGGUUGAUCGCGUCGGAAGUGGAAACUUGAUGCUUAACGUUGAGCGUGCUUUCGAUACGGGUUGACUUGAGGAAGGUAGGGGAGAAUGGAAUUCCUGGUGGAGCGGUGGAAUGCGCAGAUAUCAGGAGGAACACCAGUGGCGAAGGCGGUUCUCUGGACCUUUCCUGACGCUGAGGAGCGAAAGCGUGGGGAGCGAACAGGCUUAGAUACCCUGGUAGCUACGAG